AAAUUGAAGAGUUUGAUCAUGGCUCAGAUUGAACGCUGGCGGCAGGCCUAACACAUGCAAGUCGAACGGUAACAGGAAGCAGCUUGCUGCUUUGCUGACGAGUGGCGGACGGGUGAGUAAUGUCUGGGAAACUGCCCGAUGGAGGGGGAUAACUACUGGAAACGGUAGCUAAUACCGCAUAACGUCG
rnacentral:rRNA from 1 species